rnacentral:rRNA from 1 species
UUAAGUUAUUAAGGGCGCACGGUGGAUGCCUUGGCACUAGAAGCCGAUGAAGGACGUUACUAACGACGAUAUGCUUUGGGGAGCUGUAAGUAAGCUUUGAUCCAGAGGAUUUCCGAAUGGGGAAACCCAGCAUGAGUUAUGUCAUGUUAUCGAUAUGUGAAUACAUAGCAUAUCAGAAGGCACACCCGGAGAACUGAAACAUCUUAGUACCCGGAGGAAGAGAAAGAAAAUUCGAUUCCCUUAGUAGCGGCGAGCGAAACGGGAAGAGCCCAAACCAACAAGCUUGCUUGUUGGGGUUGUAGGACACUCUAUACGGAGUUACAAAGGACGACAUUAGACGAAUCAUCUGGAAAGAUGAAUCAAAGAAGGUAAUAAUCCUGUAGUCGAAAAUGUUGUCUCUCUUGAGUGGAUCCUGAGUACGACGGAGCACGUGAAAUUCCGUCGGAAUCUGGGAGGACCAUCUCCUAAGGCUAAAUACUCUCUAGUGACCGAUAGUGAACCAGUACCGUGAGGGAAAGGUGAAAAGCACCCCGGAAGGGGAGUGAAAUAGAACCUGAAACCGUGUGCUUACAAGUAGUCAGAGCCCGUUAAUGGGUGAUGGCGUGCCUUUUGUAGAAUGAACCGGCGAGUUACGAUUUGAUGCAAGGUUAAGCAGUAAAUGUGGAGCCGUAGCGAAAGCGAGUCUGAAUAGGGCGUUUAGUAUUUGGUCGUAGACCCGAAACCAGGUGAUCUACCCUUGGUCAGGUUGAAGUUCAGGUAACACUGAAUGGAGGACCGAACCGACUUACGUUGAAAAGUGAGCGGAUGAACUGAGGGUAGCGGAGAAAUUCCAAUCGAACCUGGAGAUAGCUGGUUCUCUCCGAAAUAGCUUUAGGGCUAGCCUCAAGUGAUGAUUAUUGGAGGUAGAGCACUGUUUGGACGAGGGGCCCCUCUCGGGUUACCGAAUUCAGACAAACUCCGAAUGCCAAUUAAUUUAACUUGGGAGUCAGAACAUGGGUGAUAAGGUCCGUGUUCGAAAGGGAAACAGCCCAGACCACCAGCUAAGGUCCCAAAAUAUAUGUUAAGUGGAAAAGGAUGUGGCGUUGCCCAGACAACUAGGAUGUUGGCUUAGAAGCAGCCAUCAUUUAAAGAGUGCGUAAUAGCUCACUAGUCGAGUGACACUGCGCCGAAAAUGUACCGGGGCUAAACAUAUUACCGAAGCUGUGGAUUGUCCUUUGGACAAUGGUAGGAGAGCGUUCUAAGGGCGUUGAAGCAUGAUCGUAAGGACAUGUGGAGCGCUUAGAAGUGAGAAUGCCGGUGUGAGUAGCGAAAGACGGGUGAGAAUCCCGUCCACCGAUUGACUAAGGUUUCCAGAGGAAGGCUCGUCCGCUCUGGGUUAGUCGGGUCCUAAGCUGAGGCCGACAGGCGUAGGCGAUGGAUAACAGGUUGAUAUUCCUGUACCACCUAUAAUCGUUUUAAUCGAUGGGGGGACGGCAGUAGGAUAGGCGAAGCGUGCGAUUGGAUUGCACGUCUAAGCAGUAAGGCUGAGUAUUAGGCAAAUCCGGUACUCAUUAAGGCUGAGCUGUGAUGGGGAGAAGACAUUGUGUCUUCGAGUCGUUGAUUUCACACUGCCGAGAAAAGCCUCUAGAUAGAAAAUAGGUGCCGUACCGCAAACCGACACAGGUAGUCAAGAUGAGAAUUCUAAGGUGAGCGAGCGAACUCUCGUUAAGGAACUCGGCAAAAUGACCCCGUAACUUCGGGAGAAGGGGUGCUCUUUAGGGUUAACGCCCAGAAGAGCCGCAGUGAAUAGGCCCAAGCGACUGUUUAUCAAAAACACAGGUCUCUGCUAAACCGUAAGGUGAUGUAUAGGGGCUGACGCCUGCCCGGUGCUGGAAGGUUAAGAGGAGUGGUUAGCUUCUGCGAAGCUACGAAUCGAAGCCCCAGUAAACGGCGGCCGUAACUAUAACGGUCCUAAGGUAGCGAAAUUCCUUGUCGGGUAAGUUCCGACCCGCACGAAAGGCGUAACGAUUUGGGCACUGUCUCAACGAGAGACUCGGUGAAAUCAUAGUACCUGUGAAGAUGCAGGUUACCCGCGACAGGACGGAAAGACCCCGUGGAGCUUUACUGUAGCCUGAUAUUGAAAUUCGGCACAGCUUGUACAGGAUAGGUAGGAGCCUUUGAAACGUGAGCGCUAGCUUACGUGGAGGCGCUGGUGGGAUACUACCCUAGCUGUGUUGGCUUUCUAACCCGCACCACUUAUCGUGGUGGGAGACAGUGUCAGGCGGGCAGUUUGACUGGGGCGGUCGCCUCCUAAAAGGUAACGGAGGCGCUCAAAGGUUCCCUCAGAAUGGUUGGAAAUCAUUCCAUUAGAGUGUAAAGGCAUAAGGGAGCUUGACUGCGAGACCUACAAGUCGAGCAGGGUCGAAAGACGGACUUAGUGAUCCGGUGGUUCCGCAUGGAAGGGCCAUCGCUCAACGGAUAAAAGCUACCCCGGGGAUAACAGGCUUAUCUCCCCCAAGAGUUCACAUCGACGGGGAGGUUUGGCACCUCGAUGUCGGCUCAUCGCAUCCUGGGGCUGUAGUCGGUCCCAAGGGUUGGGCUGUUCGCCCAUUAAAGCGGUACGCGAGCUGGGUUCAGAACGUCGUGAGACAGUUCGGUCCCUAUCCGUCGUGGGCGUAGGAAAUUUGAGAGGAGCUGUCCUUAGUACGAGAGGACCGGGAUGGACAUACCUCUGGUGUACCAGUUGUCGUGCCAACGGCAUAGCUGGGUAGCUAUGUGUGGACGGGAUAAGUGCUGAAAGCAUCUAAGCAUGAAGCCCCCCUCAAGAUGAGAUUUCCCAACUUCGGUUAUAAGAUCCCUCAAAGAUGAUGAGGUUAAUAGGUUCGAGGUGGAAGCAUGGUGACAUGUGGAGCUGACGAAUACUAAUCGAUCGAAGACUUAAUCAA